GGAAGACUCCUGGGGGUUGUGGGAAGGAUUAAUUUAUUCCCUCAAAAAGAGACUUCCAAGGGUAAGGCCAUGGUUCUUGGAGGGCACCGUGCGUCCUGGCAUCACACUGCGACACAGUGGAGCAGAAGGUGGGGGAAAGGCUGGGUCCCUGACAACGCAGUUGAGAAGCUGCCCCGGCCCUGGCACCGCCCUCUCCCAGACCUCCGUUUUGCCGGAGUCAGACUUCCCCGUUAUCCAGUCCACUUCUAGUUGGGCAUCUUGUUGCUUGCAACCCAAAGCCUGCUAAAAUACAGGACCCCAUGGGGAGAUCAUGAUGGGGAGACCUAAUUUCUGAUCUUAAAGAGCCCAAGCUCCCUGAGGCAGGGUCACUGUCCCUUUGUAUCUCCAUCCCUGGGACCCAGCACAGUGCCCGGCACAGCGGACACCCGGUAAGAGAAACGAAGGAGCUGGGGCGAGGCUGUAGGACACUCUUACCACAGACGAUUCGGCCCUUCCGAAAAUUUGGGCGCAAACACACACACGGAGGACGCCCCCUUCUGGUGGACGUGAAGAUGUCGGCAGGGAUUGGGGCGACGUUUCUGUACACCGAGAAACACCGAGGGUUGCUGGGAAGCCACCAGAAGUGAUCCAUGUCUCCUCGGGUGAGCUCACGGCGUGGAUGGGAGCCGCUGGCUCAGUCCUGCCGAAGGUGCGCCCCUGGUGAUGGGAGCAGUGAUGACGUCUUCGUGGUUCCAGGAGCAGCUUCCCGUCGUGGCGGAAGCAGCAGCUCCCUUGGCAGAGCCGUUCUGUGACGUGACUCUGGGAAUGUGUUUUUGGAAACUCGCCCUGUGUUCUCAGGACUCCCAGUGAUUCUGCAGGAUGCAUUGCCCUUCUAGAGCGUGCUUUGGUCCAUUUUCCACUGUGAAAAAAAAACACUGGCACCCAGCGUGGCGACCACACGUUGGCUCCGCCCUGGCCUGCCUGCUGCCCUCCGGCCAUCACUCUCUCUGCAGUUACUGACCUGGGCUUCCUCCUCUUGCUCAAGAUAACAGAUGACAGAAGGUGGCACGUAGGACUCUCGGACUUUGUCUGUUUGCCUGUCUUGCUACACCAUGAGUCUAGCCCAUAUACCAGCAGCACUGGGAUCAUGAGGAAACUUGUUAGAAAUGUUAGAAAAAAUCUCAAGACUCAUCACAGACAUGUGGAUUAUAAUCUGCAAGUUAACAAGAUCCCAGGGCGACAUGCAGGCGCAGGAAGAUGUGAGAAGCGCUGCUCUGGAGAAGGAACACCAGUCGGACACAAAACAGGCCCCGGAGGAAGAAAGAGAAUAAAAUAUUUACUGUGCUUGCAUCAUAGCCAAGAAUGUAUGUAAUCAUGUAAAAACAUUUAUUACAGUAUUGGUCCUUUUUAAAUUAAUAGGCUUUGGGUUUGGGGGGGCUAGUUUUAGAUUUACAGAAGAAUUGUACAGAAUUCCUGUAUAUUUUCCUCCCAAUCGGGACACACAGUCUCCCCUCCUGUAAACAUCUUGCACUGGUUUGGUACUCUUGUUACAAUGAAUGAAUUCAUAUUGAUACAUUAUUUUUAACUGAAGUCCAUAACUCAAAUUAUUUAAGAUGGGUACUCUGUGCAUGGGUUUUGACAAAUGCAUAAUGUCGCGUAUCUACGGUCACUGUUCCUUGCAGACUAGUUUUCCACUGCCCUAAAUUCUCCUGUGGUUCACCUGCUCAUUUGCUUUCCCAUCCUGCACUCCUGGCAACCAAUGAUCUUUCUACUCUCUCCAUGGCAUUACCGUUUUCCAAAAUGACAUGCAAUCGGACUCAUGCAAUAUGUAGACUUUUCAGAGUGUUUUUUUUCACUUAGUAAUAUGCAUUUAAGGUUCCUCAGUGUGUUUUUUAAUCCUUACUUGAGGACAUUUUUUUUAUUGCUUUUAGGGAGAGGGGAAGGGAGAGAAACAAGCAUUAAUGCAAGAGAGAAGCAUUGAUUGGUUGCCUUCUGUAUACCCACAGACUGGGGAUCGAACCCACAACCUAGGUAUGUGCCAUGACUGGAAAUUGAACUUGCAACUUUCUGGUUACAGAACGACGCUCCAACCAACUGAGCCACACUGGCCAGGGCAAUAGUUCGUGUCUUUUGUCGCUGAAUAGUAUCUCACCAUAUGGAUGUACUAUAGUUCGUUUAUCUAUUUACCUAUUAAAGAACAUGUUGGUUGCUACCAGUUUCUGGUGAUUAUGAAAAAAGCUGCUGUGAACAUGCAAGUGCAGGUUUUUUUCUACAUGUGACCUUCCAACCCAGGGGAAUUGAGAAAAGGAGUGCAAUUGCUGGAUGGUAUGGUAAGACAAUACUUAGUUUUGUAAGACGCUGCCAGACCAUCUGCCAAAGUGGCUGUACCAUUUUGCACUCUUGCUAGCAAUGUAUGAAAGUUCCUGUUGCUCCACAUCUUUGUCAACAUUUGAUGUUGUCAGUGUUUUGGAUUUUAGCCAUCCUCAUAGGCCUAUGGUUGUUGUUUUAAUUUGCAUUUCCCUGAUGACAUCUGAUGUGAAGAAUCUUCUCAACUGCUUUUCACCAUCUAUAUAUCUUCUUUGGUGAGGUGUCUGUGCAAGUCUUUUGCCGUGUUUUCUUAUUACUGAGAUUUUUUUUGUGUAUUUUGGAUACAAGUCCUUUGCCAAAUAUGUGUUUGGCAAACACUUGCUGGUAGUCUGUGGCUUGUGUCUUUCACCCGGCAGAAGUUUUCAAUUAUAAUAAAGUCCAGCUUAACAAUUCUUCCCUGUUUCCACAUUCAGCUGUUUCAUGUGGGUAGCUUGAAAUCAGCCACGUGGGAGUACUUACACUUCAGAAGCUGACAAACUCUAUAAAUCAGAGUUUGUUUUUUUCUCACAAAAGUCAGUUAUAAAACAUUCGCCAGCACGCACCUACCUCCUGUUAGCCUUCUACUGAAUCAUCCGUUGGUCUGAUUCUGGCUUUCCUAAUGAUUCUAUUUUUAUGCACCAGAGAAGUUUUUUGUUUUGAGUAAAAUGUUGGCAUUUUAUUUUCCUUUGAUUUAAUUAUUCUUAUUGUUCACAUUUCCCCUCUCACAUAGGAGAGAGGGCUAUCAUCAUUUUUGUAUCUGGGUAGGAGUUCCCGAAUAAUAUAAAUUGGUAUUUUUUCUUAAUUGUUACUGUGUUGUUUAUUUAUAAAUGACUUUGAUAUUAGUGAUUAAAGUUCUGGUUAUUGAUGUGAUUUUUGUCACAAAUACACAUGUAAAAUUAAUAAUUACAAAUGAUUUGAUGAAACUAAAUUAAUAAGGAAGAAGAGCUUUGUAACUUCAGAAAUCUGAUUUUUUGAAAAUAUCUAAAAUCAU